rnacentral:rRNA from 1 species
GAUGAACGCUGGCGGCGUGCCUAAUACAUGCAAGUCGAACGCUUCACUUCGGUGAAGAGUGGCGAACGGGUGAGUAAUACAUAAGUAACCUGGCAUCUACAGGGGGAUAACUGAUGGAAACGUCAGCUAAGACCGCAUAGGUGUAGAGAUCGCAUGAACUCUAUAUGAAAAGUGCUACGGGACUGGUAGAUGAUGGACUUAUGGCGCAUUAGCUUGUUGGUAGGGUAACGGCCUACCAAGGCGACGAUGCGUAGCCGACCUGAGAGGGUGACCGGCCGCACUGGGACUGAGACACGGCCCAGACUCCUACGGGAGGCAGCAGUAGGGAAUUUUCGGCAAUGGGGGAAACCCUGACCGAGCAACGCCGCGUGAAGGAAGAAGUAAUUCGUUAUGUAAACUUCUGUCAUAGAGGAAGAACGGUGGAUAUAGGGAAUGAUAUCCAAGUGACGGUACU